UACGAGGGGGGCAAGUGUUGUUCGGAAUUACUGGGCGUAAAGGGAGCGUAGGCGGGCUCUUAAGUUGGAUGUUUAAAACCGGGGCCUAACCCCGGCGUGGCAUCCAAAACUGGGAGUCUUGAAUGGGACAGAGGCCAGUGGAAUUAGAGGUGUAGCGGUGGAAUGCGUAGAUAUCUCUAAGAACACCAGUUGCGAAGGCGGCUGGCUGGGUCCACAUUGACGCUGAGGCUCGAAAGCGUGGGGAGCGAACAGG
rnacentral:rRNA from 1 species